rnacentral:rRNA from 1 species
GUGAGGAAUUUUCCGCAAUGGGCGAAAGCCUGACGGAGCAAAGCCGCGUGAAGGAUGAAGGCCUAUGGGUUGUAAACUUCUUUUCUCAGAAAAGAAUUAUGACGGUAUCUGAGGAAUAAGCAUCGGCUAACUCUGUGCCAGCAGCCGCGGUAAGACAGAGGAUGCAAGCGUUAUCCGGAAUGAUUGGGCGUAAAGCGUCUGUAGGUUGUUUAAAAAGUAUUCUGUCAAAGAUUAGGGCUUAACCCUAGAUAGGCAGAAUAAACUUUUAAGCUAGAGUUUGGUAGAGGCAGAGGGAAUUCCCGGUGGAGCGGUGAAAUGCGUAGAUAUCGGGAGGAACACCAAAGGCGAAGGCACUCUGCUGGGCCAAUACUAACACUGAGAGACGAAAGCGAGGGGAGCAAAUGGGAUUAGAAACCCGAGUAGUCC